rnacentral:rRNA from 1 species
AGUGAACGCUGGCGGUAGGCCUAACACAUGCAAGUCGAACGGCAGCACAGGAGAGCUUGUUCUCUGGGUGGCGAGUGGCGGACGGGUGAGGAAUACAUCGGAAUCUACUCUGUCGUGGGGGAUAACGUAGGGAAACUUACGCUAAUACCGCAUACGACCUACGGGUGAAAGCAGGGGACCUUCGGGCCUUGCGCGAUUGAAUGAGCCGAUGUCGGAUUAGCUAGUUGGCGGGGUAAAGGCCCACCAAGGGGACGAUCCGUAGCUGGUCUGGGAGGAUGAUCAGCCACACUGGAACUGAGACACGGUCCAGACUCCUACGGGAGGCAGCAGUGGGGAAUAUUGGACAAUGGGCGCAAGCCUGAUCCAGCCAUACCGCGUGGGUGAAGAAGGCCUUCGGGUUGUAAAGCCCUUUUGUUGGGAAAGAAAUCCAGCUGGCUAAUACCCGGUUGGGAUGACGGUACCCAAAGAAUAAGCACCGGCUAACUUCGUGCCAGCCGCCGCAGUAA